CUUGCAAGCUGCCCAAUCGCUCUCCCGGUAUAGGGAGUGAGGAAAGUCCGGGCAACGUAGGGCAUCGUACUUCCUAACGGGAAGGGUCUCGCCCCGGCGAGGUACAGACAGUGCCGCAGAAAAUAUACCGCCUCAACACGUUGGGGUAAGGGUGAAAUGGUGAGGUAAGAGCUCACCGCAGUGCGGGUGACCGUACUGGCAGGGUAAACCUUACGAGUUGAAAGACCAAAUAGGCU
rnacentral:RNase_P_RNA from 1 species